UGGAUAAAAGGUCUAGUUAUAGUUCUGAACACUAGGCUCAAAUUGUAAUAGCUUGGAAGCCCAAGUGUUUGUAUUUCUCUUAAAACACUUGUAAAUGUUCAAAACUUUUCACAAAACAAUAUUGAAAUAAAAAGACUACUUGGGUGAAAGGUCCAAUCAUAAUUCUGAGUAUGAGGCCCAAGUGGUAACCGCUUGUAAGUCAUGUAUACUCGUCUUUCAAGCCUAAAACAUACUCAAACUAAUCAAACAUAU
rnacentral:lncRNA from 1 species